UGAUAUUGUACGAGGUUCUAAGGCUGUACCCACCGGUGGUUGAGCUAGGACGUUCCGUUCCAAAAGAAAUAAAACUGGGGAAUUUGUUGUUACCAGUAGGAACAGAAGUUUCGGUUCCGAUCCUGCAGAUCCACCAUGACAAAGAUCUUUGGGGUGACGACGCACGGGAAUUUAAGCCAGAGCGGUUCGCGGAAGGGGUUUCCAAAGCAACAAAGAGUCAAGUCACGUUUCUGCCAUUCGGAUGGGGUCCUAGGAUCUGUAUUGGCCAAAAUUUUGCUUUGAUGGAAGCCAAAAUGGCGAUGGCUAUGAUUCUCCAACGCUUCUGGUUCGAGCUUUCCCCUUCCUAUGCUCACUCUCCUUACAGCAGGGCAACUCUUCGUCCACAGCAUGGUGCACAGAUAAUUUUACAUAAACUUGGCUGUAAUUGAAUUGUUAUGUAAACAAAUCUUUGUGAAAACAUAGCGUUUUAGUGUAUCGUCAAAGUCCGGUAUCUGUAAUGGUACAAAUUCGAUGAAUGAAUAGUAAAUUUUGAGAUGUUUGGUGAAGUCCGAAAUAAUAUGCAGAAAUUGAGCGUCUGUGGUGGACAUAGUUGAGGGACUAAUGUGGUAAUUAUCAAUCAAAUAAUUCGGUACAAAGACUUAUAUGGAAAUUAAAGCAGGGGGAGUUGAAAAUGACUACUCUGCUUUGGGCAUCAAUUUAGAAAGAUUUAAAGUUCAAAUGUGUUAUUAGUUAAGGGAUUUGUUUUAAAGAGGGAAUGACAAUUAAACCUCAUGGUUGAUUUGUGCAAGGAACCGAUGAUGGGAUGAUUAUUCUUAGUGGUAAAAAAAACCAUUAUGGAGGUUAUUACACUUGUUAUCAUCGGCUUAAAAUUCGAUUGGGUUCAGGUCGGAUUAUAUCGAGCUUGUAAGAUAGUUCACCGACCAAGUUUGCAUAAUAAAAUACCUAAAUGAAAAAAAUUUCUAUUUUAGAGGAACCAGAGCCCCUACCAACUCCCGGUUCAACCACUAAACAAUAGCCAUAUCAUAUAAAUAAAUACCACCAUCUAAAAGACUAAAAAAAAACACUUAACAAAGGAUAAAUAGAUAGAUGUUGGAUAAGUGUCCAAAAUAUGAUCUAAGUGAAGAUACGUGGGGUAGGUGUUACGGAAAUGUGAAGACAAGAAUCCCACUAACGUAUGGGAUGUGUACAGUUGAAUGUAGGAAGCUAGUAAAAAAAUUUUUUUGGGUCAUAUAAUUUGUUUAGCAUAUAUUUUUAUAAUUUUUAAAUAUCAUUUUGGAGUUGAAUUAUAAUUUUUUUAUAUAUUAUCUUAAAAUUUUAAGGAGUUAAAACAAAAUUAUUUUAUUUUCAGAUGGUCAAAGUAGAGGUGAUAAUGGGUUGGGCUAUUCGGCCCGGCCUGACGAUUCACCCGAAAAAUAGGAGGGUUUAGGUAAAAAUAUAGGCUCGAAAUAUGGAUUUGAGCAAAAAAAGAGGCCCGUUUAGAAAAUGGGCUAGGCCUCGAGUAAAAUUUUUUGGGCCCAGGCCUGACCUGAAUUAUAUAUUAAAUAUAUAUAUUUUAUUUUUAAUCAAAUAUACUUUUGUUUUAUUAUUAAUUUGGUUAUUAUUUUAGUUCUAAUUUGUUUCAAUUUUAAUAUAACCAGUUUUUAUUAUAUUUUCAAUUUGUGUAUUGUUUUAAGAAUUGUUUUAGUCUCAUUAUUUAUUUAUUUUUUGUUUUAAUAUUUGUUUUAAAAAUUUUUAUUUAAUGAAAUAAGCUAAAAAAAUUAAUAUGGGCUGGGCCAGGCCAGGCUCGGGCCUAGUAAUUUUCUUUUGGGCCGGACUUAGAUAAAUUUUUAAGUCCAUAUUUUGAAUUGGGUCCUAACCUAAAAAAUAGACCUAAAAUUUUAUAUGGGCCCAGCUUGAACCCGACUUGGCCCAUGAUUACCUUUAAGUCAGAGCUAUCCUCGUUUUGCAUUUCUUUGAGAUUCAGCCUUAUCUACUAUUGAUUGCCCUCUCAAUUGAGGUUUGAGUAGAAAGAUUUGGUGAAGCAAGCUAAGCUAUCAAUCAAGGUUUGCAUAAUUAUUUAAAUGUAAUUCUAAUAUUAAAAUAAUUUUUUUUAUUAAUAUAGUAUCAACAAGCAUUAAAUGUAAUGAUCAUAUACUAUUACAUUUUCAAGAAGAGAAAACAUGUUUGAACUUUAAAAACGACGUUACUAAAAACAUUAUCACAAAUCUUGAAAUAUAAAAAAUAUUUUUUUAAAUAUAAUAAAAAAUUAAUUUUAAACCUGAGCUGAAUAAAAUUCUAAUUUUAGUUAAUGAUACCAACAACAAAUCAAUAUUCUAAGCCCGAGCCCGGCUCAUUUUUUUAAUAAACACCAAAAAUUUAUUUUGAAAAUAAAAAAAGUAUUUUAAAAAAAUUUUAAAAUUAAAAGAAUAAAAAUAUAUAUUUAUUAUAUAUUCAGGCCGGGCCGGGCCGGCCCCGGGCCAAAAAAGUGGUGCUCGAGACCCGACCCAUUGUCUAAAUGGGCCUCAUUUUUGCCCAAACCCAUAUUUCGGGCUUAUAUUUUUACCCGAACCUCUCAUAUUUUGGACGGAUCGUCGGGCCGGACCAGGCCGCCCGACCAUGAACACCUCUAGGGCAAAGUCACUCAAUGAAUGCAUGGAAAGAAAGAAUGCAACUUGGUGACAGCUUUUGUUGGAGUUAUAUGCUUUUUUUUACAUAGUGGAACUUUCUGUGGAUUUUCAAGUUUCAUGAACUUUAUACCCUAUGCUUUACGUGAAAAAAAUCAUUGGACUUAAAAGUCUACCAAAAGUUUCACUAUAAUAAAUAAAUAAAUAAAUAAAUAACAUUGCUACAAGACUACAACAUAAAGUUACAAUAAGAGCUUAUAACUCAACAAAGGCUAUCAAUAAAUAAUCUCAAGCAAGCUAAAGAGAAAUGUUGAGAGUACCACUCAAAUAGUGAUUGACUUUAAAAAUUAAAAACCCGAAGUUAUAAUAUCCCAAACGAAAUCAAACCAUAAACAUUAAAUUUUUCGAGUCUACUAGAUACUGUAAAAAAUUCAGCUCCAACGGACACCAAAUGAACCUAUGAUUGAAGAAAAUACGAAAACUAGUCUGGCUAAAUCAAUCUGCCAAACUUACUUUUUAUCUUAUCUUUAAUUUGCUGUGAAAUUCAAAACUACGUGUAAUACCCAAUUUAUGCCCGGCCCAUUUUGUUAAACCAAAUAAAAAAGAAAAGAAAAACAAAAUAUUUAAAUUUAGCCCAAAUGUCCAUUUACACAGCCCAAUUACAAUUGCAAAUAAAAAAAAACUAAAACUAAACCCGAUCCUAAGCAUCAGCCCAAAUUCGACCCAUGCCCAAAACGAAUUCAGAUGCAGAAACCCUAGCCCAGCCUCAACGCAAGAAAAAGUCGGAAGCCCUAAUGGUUGGUGCGCCGCUCCUGUAACAGCCCGAUUUUGGGUCUAGUCGGAACAGUGGUUUUGGGACCACAAAUCCGACGAGAAAAAAAUGUAAUGGCCUGAAUUUUCAGAGGUGUCGGAAUGGUGAUUCGAGAUCACUAAAUUCGAAAAAUGGGUAGAAAAUAUUAUUAAUUUAGUGAGUAUAAGUUAAAUGUGAAGUUAGGAAAAUUUUUGAAAUAGUGAAUAGUACACUAGAAAUAAAUAUUAAAAUAAUUAGAAUCGAAAAUGAGGUAUCGAGACCUCGGGGAUUUUAAACCUAGCCAUAAAUAUUUAUGUAGUGUUAAAAAGUUAGUAUUAAAGUUUCGUUAAGAAAUUUUAAAGUUCCGAUAAUUAAUUGAACAAAAAGGACUAAAUUGUAACAAAUACAAAAUUAUGAGAAAUGAUUAAAUAGCUUAAAUGAUAAAAGGAAGAGGGCUUAAAAGGCAAAUAGACCCAAGGGCUAUUUGGGCUGGACGGCAAAGGCAUGAAAUCAGCAACAAAGUAAGGAGAAUUAAGGGCAAAAUUGGAAUAUUGCAAAAUUUACUUAAUAAAGUUAGGACCAAAGUGGAAUUAUCUAGAUUUCUCUUUAUUUUUCUGCAUUCUCAUUAGCAAAAACACCAUAGAAGGGUUUCCUUAAGCCGGUUCUUCCUAUUUUUACUGCAGAUAAGUUCAAUUCUUGAUUAUUUCUUGAAAAUUUUGUGUUUUUGUGACUUUUACAACUAGGCCCACUUAUUGUAUUCAUUAGUUUUUGAUUCUAUGAAAGAAUUUGAAAGUUGCUAUGAAUACAUGCUGGAAGUAUAUGAUGAUUUAGCAUGGAAUUAGAGCUUUAAAUUGUUCAUAUGCUGAUUUUAUUGAAAGAAUUGAAUAGAAAGUGAAUGUUUGGGACCUAAUAGUAAAAGAGUUUGAAGAUAGAGUUAUAUGUGGAAAUUCUGAGUUUCAAUAGUUGUGAAACAACUUAUAAUGUCUAGGUAAAUUAUUAAUUGAGAAAAUUAAAUUAAUUGAGGGGUUAAUUGAGAAAGGACCGAAUUGUAUAAACUGUGAAAUUUGGGGCAAAAAGGAAAUCAACAUUUUGCACUAAAGCAGUUUUGGACAGCAGCAGUAGUAUAAAUUUGAAAAAUCACCAAAAAUUUUGGGAAUUGAAUUAGAGGGUGAAUAAAAUAUGAAAUUAAAGCUUAUUGAGUCUAGUUUCUUAUAAAGGAAACGGUGUAAGCAAUGGAAUUGUAAAUCAUGAGAUAUAAUAAAUUUUGCGAGACAAUGUCAGAAUGAUUUCGGGUUCCCCUAUUCUGACUUUGGAAAAUCAUUAAAAAUUGAAAAAAAAUUAUGAGUUAUAAUUUAUAUGAUUAGAAUCCUUAAUGAGUCUAUUUUCAAAAUAAAUAAAUGGAAACGUCAUAAAAAUUCUGUACAAUUAGAUAAUUCAUUUUUAGUGAAGAGUGGUCGGAACUGUCAGACAGCAAAACAGGGGAAACUUUAAAGAAUAAAAUGUACUAUUUGGCUGAACCAAAAAUUCUGAAAAUUGUAUGGUAAGAAGGUAUGUGAGUCUAGUUUCAGGGAAAAUUAAGGGAUCUUAAUUUAGAGCUCUGUAGCUCCAGAUAAAAAUAAUUUAGUGACUCUAACUCGGAUAAACAGCUUUGAAUAUACAUGUGAGUGAAUAGUGAAAUUAUAGCUAGUGUUGUUUAAGUGUGUUAUACACAAUAAGGAUGUGGAAUGGAGAGGAGGAGGAGGAGGAAAAAUUGGGAAAUAUAUGAAUGAUUUGUGUAUAAUUGGUCAUAUGCUUAAUUAUAAUUGAUAAACGAUGAAAUAGAAAUGAUGCAUAUAUUUGUGCAGUAUUGGUCAUGGUUUAAGCUCAUGUGGCAAAAUAAAGUUUAUAGUACGGGUGUAUUGUAUUUUUGGUAUAUGAUUUGGCAUUAAGUAAUGUCGUGAAUGGGUAUUGAAUUAACACAUGUUGGAAAGUUUGAUUCAGCACGCGUCGAGCCUCCGCGCCAAAACCACGUGAGCCUUCGUACACUCCAACUGGCCUCCGUACCUGCAACAAACAAAAGUAGACAAAACAACAGCAAAUGAUAGGAAGAAAAGGUAGUAAAUAGUGAAGAUUUUUCUGUAAUUUUCUUUGGAUUUCAUUCUGUAUUUUCGGCUAUAAAAGAGCCAUUAGGAAUAUUUGUAAAGGAGUUUUUUUUUUACCCUCACACACAAAGAGAAUAUACACGCAUACAAGAUCAAUAUAGAGAAAAAAAUAAAAAAAAAUACAAAGAAUAGAAAAUCAAGUUUCGAAGGUGAUUCUUUGAAAAAUCCUUUUCGUUUUUCUCCUUUUUCCUUUUUCCUGGAUCUUUUGUUCAUUUCAAGUAAAAAAAGUAUAAAAAGGAAACAAGUUUAGAGGAAGGAGGUUUACCUGGACGCCGGACCUCGCUCGCCUCGUCGAAAUCGAAGGCUGAGAGGGGAUAAAUCGGUUUUGCGACGGAAGGAAAGGGGGCUAGGGUUCUUCUUUUAAUUUUAAAAAAAAAAUAGAAAAUGUUGCUAAUUAGGUUUUAAUGGGGGGAUUUAUGUGUGUUAAAAAAACGACGUCGUUUAGCGACCUUUGACCCGCGCGGUGACCCGACCCGAGGAAAGGAUCCGCGCGUUUUGGGUCUGAUGGGUUUAUUGCGCAACAAGCCCUUCCGCAUUUGUUUUUCGUUUCAAUCCGGUUUUUAUUUGUUUUUUAAUUGCUCUCUCAUAUUUAGUUCCAAUUUCAAUUGGGUCCAUGAUUAAACGACAUCGUUUUCAUUGAUUGGGUUUGAAGGCCUAGUUUUGUGCGUCUAAAUUGCAGCAAUGGUCCCCCUGAUGUGCAAUGGUUCUCGAUUUAGUCGUCUCCACACUUAUUUCAAAGUCGUCCCUGAGAUUUUGUUUUAUUUUUGAAAUUUUCCUUGUCUUCUUUUAAUUUAUAAUGCUAUUAUUAUUAUUAUUAUUAUUGUUGUUGUUGUUGUUGUUAUUAUUACUAUUAAUAUAGGUAUUGUUAUCGUGUUAGUUUAUAUCUAUUUAUUUACUUUUAUUUUAUUAUGUAUUAUUAUAUAAUGCUUUUAUCAUGUAUCAUUUUAUAUAUUUUCUAUGUUAAUCUAAUAUGAUAUAUAUAUAUAUAUAUGUAUUUUUGUGAUCUUAUUUUAUAAUACUUUUUUAACCCAUUUAUAUGCCUUUAUGUUUUAAAGAUUUAUAAUAUUUUGAGCAAAACUAUUAUAUAUAUAGAUAUACAAUUUAUAUUAGACCAUUUUUAUCGUACAUAUACGUAUAUAUAAUUUAUAUUUUGAAACCCUAUUUUAUUAUAUUUUAUGCCUCUAUAUACAUCAUUAUAUGUUUAUUAUUCUUUAUAUUAAACCUGUCAUUUCACUUAUAUAUUUUUAAAACCAAUAUGUAUUAUUCUUUCUUCCUUGUUAUUUUUUAUCUCUUAAAAUAGAUUGAUAAUUCAUUUAAUUUUUGAAUGUUGUAUGACCGAGAUUAUCGUUGCCAUUCUUGUUCAAAUUUAUCCAUUGCUUGUUCAUAUUAUUUGAUAAUUUAUCGCUCACUAGCAUGUACCGUAAUUUACGAAUUAUCAAUUUGAAUUAUGUACUACCAUUCAAUCGCAUUACAUUUGUUUGGAAAACAUCGAAAUCGUUUUGCACAUAAACCUUCAAAAUGCUCGGUAUCCAAAAUUCUCGAGAGGAUUGUGUCCUAACUUACUAGGCUUCAAUUCUCCUUCUUGAUUUUAAAUAACCGAAUACCCCUUUUUCAAUUUGAACAUAGAAAUUCCAAAAUAAAAAAAAACUCAUUCUCGGGAAUUUGAUGCGUUGUGUCCUAACGUAUUGGAUAUGACAUAUUUUUCUCGAGACGAGGAUUUUUCUAACAAAUAAAAAUAAAGACAAUAUUUGAUAUUUAGGAAUUUUGUGAAAUCGAAGCCUAACUUACUGGGUUUUGAUUUUUUCAUUUGACCCAAGUCGGAUAUCCUUCUCAAAUGCAUAGAUUUUAAAAAAUCAAAAGAUAAACUUAAUUUCGAGGAUUUAAAAUGUUACACUCUAACUUACUAAGUGUGUCAAUUUAUUUCUUUGAAAUAAGUGAGUUUCAUCAUCCAAUUUAUUUUAUUCAAAUAUUCUUUUCCAAGGAUCGUAUUUUAAAAUCUUUUCAAAAUUUCGACAUUAAGACAUUAAACAAUCAAUUCGGUACCAAUUUUGGGCGUCACGAGGGUGCUAACCCUUCCUCGUGCGUAAUCGACUCUCGAACUUGUUUUCUCAAAAUUCGCAGACCUAAAAUUAUUUUCAAGGUGAUCCGAUUACACCACAAUAAAAUAUCGGUGGUGACUCCCAUUCCUAUUUUAAAAGUCGAUUCCCGUUUUUCAAAUAUAAAAAAAUGGUUUCGACACUACGGUUUUGUUUGUUUCACUUAGAACAACUUUCAAAAAGUUAAUUUUGAAAAAUGGAUUGAAUUUUCAAAAUAGAUGAUAUUUUAUUGUGUUAAAAUUUUAUUCGUUGUUUGAAAAAAAAAUUUAAAUCAUUUUCUUAGAAUUAUUUUUAGUGAAACAAAUAUAUCAUAAAUAUAUUUGUUAUAAAAUAUUAUAUUAAUAAUUUUUUUGACAAUUAAAAUAUAUUUUGUGAUAAGGUAAUAUUUUAUAAUAAUUAAUAUCAUAUAUACUUAAUAAUAAAUCAUGUCUAAUUAAAAUUUAAUUUCAAUUAAAUAUAUUAAUAAAGCUACAUUUAAUCAUAUUUUAUAUAAUUAAAAUAUUAAUAUAAAUAUUUUUCAAUAAUAUAUUAAAGAAUAUUUAAAAUUUAAAUUUAUUAUUACUAAGAUUAAUUAUUAAAAUAAAAAUGUACUAUUAAAUAAUUUAUCCAAUGAUAAGUUAUAUUGAUAAUUUAUUAUAUUAUUAAAUAUAAAUAAUUCAAUAUGUAUGUUUAAUAAUAUUAUGUUAUAAUAUUUAUUACUAAUAUUUUAAUAUUUUUAAACAACCAUAUUUUAAAGAUGGUGGUGAUGGUGAUGGUGCAGGCCCCCUUGUUACAAUUACAAUAUUUUUAAGUGGGAUGCAUGUAAUAUAUUGUUAGGGUUUUAGAGUGUGUCGUCUUUAAAAGGGUUAAAUUAUAUAUUUAUAUAAUAUGAUUAUUGUUUAUAAACAUAAUAUUGUAGAUAAGUUUAUAUGUAUGUCAAUAUGUAUCCUACUCUAGGGUUAAUAUGUAUUUUUUAGAUGUGGGUUCACCUAUAUAAUAGUAUGAAUCCAUCAUGCGGUCUCAUGAAAUAUACAAACACAUAUCGUGCUAACACAAAGUACGAACAAUAAAAAGUACAAAUCAAGACCCAAUUGAAUAAUUAAAUAACGGAUAGGUAAUAAUGAAUAUCAUAACAUUCACUAUCCCCUCUUUUCCAGUGAGUUAUUGUUUAUGAUAAAUUUGCAACAAAUGUUUUUAUCAUUAUUUUGUUGGUAAAUGAUAAUAAGCUUAAACUUUACUUUCUUAAGCUCCUUCAAUUCUUUGGACGUUAGCGAGUAAACUUGAGCUUCAGCAUUCCACAAACACCUUAAUUUGAAGACACAGUUCUCUCAUACUAAAAACGACAUGGACGUUUACCUUGUAAUUAGAGAUUUGGGCUCAUUGUUGGGUUAUUAAUGAUACAGGGAUGGAGAGCUUUAAACUGGGUAUGGCUGGCCCCAAAGAGGCUCGAAAGGUGCUUGAGACUAGAGGUGAUCAAGGGCCGGGUUAGGCCCGGUCUAGAAAAAAAUUUAGGCCCAUUUUUUAGGCCUGAAUUCGGCUCGGCUCAAAAUAUGAGCUUAAAAAUUUGUCUAAAUUCGGUCCGAAAGAAAAUUGUUAAGCCCAAGCCUGACCCAUAUUAAAUUUUACAACACCAAAAAAGUAUAUUUAAAUAAAAAUAAAAAAUAUAUAUUUAAUAUAUAAUUCGGGCCGGGCAGAACUCUGGCAAAAAAAAUUUUACUCGGGGCUGGUCUGUUUUCUAAACAGACUUCGUUUUUUUGCCAAAAUCUAUAUUUUAGGCAUAUAUUUUUACCCGAAUCUUCCUAUAUUUUGGGGUGAGCCGUCGGGCCAGACUGGGUAGCCGAACCAAUGAUCACCUCUACUUGAGACAACAGGGUUUUGCAGGGAAUUCUUACAGGUUCGUUUCUGGUGACAUAAAAGAGCUCUUCACUAUAAGCAUACAAACAAGAGCCAAAACUAUGCCUCUUAGUGAUGAUAUUGGGCCUUAUGUUGUUCCUUUUCAACAUCAAACCGUCAACCAGUAUGGUAUGUUUUUUUAUUUAAUCUGCAAUUUAUGAUAAUUCUUUGUUAUUUAUGUAUGGAAUUUAUUGGGAGGAAAUGCUGGAAAGAAUUCAUUUACAAGAAUUGGUCCAAGAUCAAGGGUGAACAUUACGGACCCUGAAAAAUAAGAGAAAUACUUAACAAAUUUAAUGACUUCCAGAAGGUACGUACCAAUCCACUGCUUAAUUUGCUUGUAAGCGGCCUCGUUAACCUCGAAGGAGACCGAUGGAGCAAGCAUAGAAAAAUCAUAACCCUUGCAUUUCAUCAAGAUAAGUUGAAGGUAUAGAAUAGUAAUGGGUACUCAAGACUUUAAAGAAAACAUCAUACUUAAGCCUAUGCUUUUCUGAUUUAGACAUAAUUGGAUGCAGAAUAUGUUGCCAGCAUUUUAUCAAAGUUGUAGUGACAUGUUUAAGCAAAUGGGAGAAGAUGGUGUGUACAGAAGGAUACAUUGAGUUAGAUGUGUGGCCUUAUCUCGUAGAUUUGACAAGAGAUGUGAUUUCCCGAUCUGCUUUUGGAAGCAGCUUCGAAGAAGGCAAACGAAUUUUCCAAUUACUAGAGGACCAACUCGUUGUUACAAUCAAAUUAAUACAAACUGUUUACAUUCCAGGAUGGAGGUAACCGUCUACUUAAUUUACUUGAAAAAGGUUGCAAAUGUUGGAAUUGGCUAAAUUCGUGUUUGUUUUCUUGAAGGUUUUUGCCCACAAAGACAAACAGGGAGGUGAAGAUGAAACACAAAGACAUAAAAGAGUCGCUCAGGGAAAUGAUAAAAAGAAGAGAGCAGGCAAUUAAAGCAGGGGAAGAGAGUAAUGAGGACUUGUUGGACAUACUUGUGGAAUCCAAUAUCAGAGAAAUGGAAGCAAAGAAUAUGGGGAUGAGCAUUGAGGAUGUGAUUGAGGAAUGCAAGCUGUUUUACUUUGCUGGCCAGGAGACCACUUCGGUCUUACUCGUGUGGACUAUGGUUUUAUUAGCAAGGUAUCCCGAUUGGCAAAGUAAAGCAAGAGAGGAGGUUUUGCAUGUUUUGGGUGACAGUAAACCUGAUGCUGAUGGCCUUAAUCGUCUCAAAGUUGUAAGUCCCUAUCAUGUCUCUUGAAGGCCCGAUCUCUGAGGUCGACAACUCAAAAACUUGGUUCUUUGUUUCGCUAAUUCUACAGUUAACAAUGAUAUUGUACGAGGUUCUAAGGCUGUACCCACCAGUGAUUGAGCUAGGACGUUCCGUUCCAAAAGAAAUAAAACUGGGAAAUUUGUUGUUACCAGCAGGAACAGACGUUUCGGUUCCAAUCCUGCAGAUCCACCAUGACAAAGAUCUUUGGGGCGACACCGCACGGGAAUUUAAGCCACAGCGGUUCACGGAAGGGGUUUCCUAAGCAACAAAGAGUCAAGUCACGUUUCUGCCAUUCGGAUGGGGUCCUAGGAUCUGCAUUGGCCAAAACUUUGCCAUGAUGGAAGCUAAAAUGGCGAUGGCUAUGAUUCUCCAACGCUUCUGGUUUGAGCUUUCCCCUUCCUAUGCUUACUCUCCUUACAACAUGGCAACUCUUCGUCCACAGCAUGGUGCACAGAUAAUUUUACAUAAACUUGGCUGUAAUUAAAUUGUUAUGUAAGCAAAUCUUUGUGAAAAUAUAGUGUUUUAGUGUAUCGUCAAAGUCUGUCUGUAAUGGUACAAUUCCGAUGCAUGAAUAGUAAAUUUUGAGAUGUUUGGUGAAGUCCGAAAUAAUAUGCAGAAAUUGAGUGUCUAUGGUGGACAUAGUUGAGGGACUAAUGUGGUAAUUAUCAAUCAAAUAAUUCGGUACAAAGACUUAUAUGGAAAUUAAAGCAGGGGGAGUUGAAAAUGACUACUCUGCUUUGGGCAUCAAUUUAGAAAGAUUUAAAGUACAAAUGUGUUAUUAGUUAAGGGAUUUGUUUUAAAGAGGGAAUGACAAUUAAACCUCAUGGUUGAUUUGUGGAAGGGAACCAAUGAUGGGAUGAUUACUCUUAGUGGUGAAAAAAAAACUAUUAAGGUGGUUAUUAUAGUUGUUAUCACCAGCCUAAAAUUUGAAUAGGUUCAGGUCGGAUUAUAUUGAGCAUGCAAGAUUAGUUCACGGACCAAACUUGUAUGAUAAUAGGUAUUCACAAAAAGAUAUCUAUAGUUUCCAACAAAGUCACAUGUGAGAUCGUGCAUUAGAACCGCAUAAACAUGUUUUAUGUUUAGAAUAUGAUAUGUGUCUAUGUGUAUAGAAUCUACCUAAUAUAUCAUAUUAAUGAAUAGUAUCAAUUGCGGAGCCAAAAAAUUAUUUGUGAGGGGUCAGAAUUAAAUUGUAUAUUUUUACAAAAAUAAAAAUUAAAUUUCACUAUUUUAAUAGUUUAUUUAUUUUUAAUUUUUAAAUGAUUAAAUUAAAUUUUAUAAAUUUUUAGGAUCAAAGUAUAAUUUUAUCAUUACUAAUUUAAAAUUUUAUAAAUUAUAAAAAGUUUAUAUGAAAAGUUUUCUAUUUUAGGGUGGCCAAAGCCCCUGCCAACUUCUGACUCGAUCACUUGCGGUUAGUUGGGUAAAGACUCAAGAAAAAUAGCGGUGUGUUUGGAUGGACAGUGUGUUUACUUGCGGUUAGUGUAAAAAUAGCAGUGGCGGUGAGAUUAGAUACUAUAGCAACACUGUAGCGUGAGACAAAAAGUAAGUUAAACGCACUGCACUGCACUUAAUCGUCUAUCUAAACUCACCAUAAGUGUCUAAAAUAUGAUUUAAGUGAAGAUACGUGGGGUAGGUGUCAUGGAAAUGUAAAAAAAAAAGAAUCCCACUAAUGUAUGGGAUGUGUACAAUUGAAUGCAGGAGUGAAUCAUUUGGGUAACAUUUGGACAAGAAACAUAAUGAACAAAAUGAAAGGAGAGGAAGCUAGUAAUAAAAGAUUCUUUUGGGUUAUAUAAUUUGUUUGGCAUAUAUUUUUAUAAUAUUUAAAUAUCAUUUUGGAGUUGUUGAAUUAUAAUUUCUUUUUAUGUUUUAAAACAUAGUUAUUCUAUUUUUAGAGGUCAGAGUAGAGGUGAGCAUGAGUCGGGCUACUCGGCUCGGGCCGAAGGCUUGCGCAAAAUGUGAGAGAUUUGGGUAAAAAUAUAGGCCCGAAAAAUGAGUUUAGACAAAAAAAAUAUAAGGCCCGUUGAAAAAACAGGCUAGGCCUUGGGUAAGGCAUUUUGGCCCCAGACCCGGCCCAACCCAAAUUCACUAAGGGCACGUUUGGUUCGCUGUAUUGGAAUAGAGGCGUAAUGUAAUAGAUGCGUAAUGGAAUAGAGACGUAAUAGCAAAUCAAUUGUUUGGUUGAAUGUAAUGGAAUAGAGGCGUAAUAGUAUUCUUAUAUUUGGUUGAAUGGAAUAGAGGUGUAACAGCAUAAGGAAAAAAGUUAAAAUGACUAGAAUACCCUUAGCAGAAAUUUGUUUAGAUAAAUGAUUAUUGUUAUUGUUAUUAAAUUUUAAUAAGAUUAUUAAUAUCAGUAAUAAAUAAUUUAAUCAUAUUUUAACAUAAUUAUUAUUAAAUAUAAUUUAAUAAAAAUAUAUAAUUUAAUAAAAUUCUUAAUAUUAAAUAAAAUUCUUAAUAUUAAAUAUUCUUAAUAUUAAAUUACUAAAAUCAUAAUAUAUAAUACUAUAAAAUAUAAUUUAAAUAAUUAUUAUUAAAUAUAAUUUAAUAAAAAUAUAUAAUUUAAUAAAAUUCUCAAUAUUAAAUAUAUUCUUAUAUGAAUUUACUAAAAUCAUAAUAUAUAAUACUAUAAAAUAUAAUUUAAAAUAAUUAUUAUUAAAUAUAAUUUAAUAAAAAAUAUAUAAUUUAAUCUAAAGUUUGAAUGUGUAUUUACCUAGCAAAAAUCAAUGAACUCUCGUGUAACUAUAACCUUAAUAAUAUAUGAUGUAUAAUUAAUAUUUCGUGACUAAUUAAUAGCAUAGAGAUAAAUACAGUAAUGACGAAUUUAUAGUAUACGAUUAAAAUGCUAAUAAUUUAUAGUAUACAAUUAAAAUAUUAUAAAUAAAAUAAUAGUAAAUGAUAUAUAAGAUAAAUUAACAUAUAAAUAAUUCAGAUAUGUAAAGAAUAUGGCUGAAUAUGGUUGCUCCAAUAAUAAAGGAUAUAUAAUAUAUCAUGGUGUUGUUUUGUUUAGAUAGUUCGGUAACUUAGGAGGGUAUGUAUGAAGAACACAAGUUGAUGCAGAUAGAAAGACGACAAUAUUACAUGAUUACAAUAUGAUAUAGUAUAUAUAUAUAAUUUAUGGAUUCCUUGCAAUCACGUGGCUUCUCUAGCCAUUUUAUUUAGCAUAUCCAGUGAUAUUAAGAUCCAGAAUUAUAAUACAACUAAAAUCUGUGCACACUUAUGGAUGAUCCAACAAAGCCUCAGUUGGCUUUAGGUUCCAAAUCUUGCAACCCACAAACCAUAUUUGCUGGCACUGCAACAUCAAUCAUCUUAGGAUAUGCCAAGUUAAGAUCUGUUGCACCAACAAAAACAGAGGAGAAAUUAGAAGGCGAUCCGAAAAAACCCAAGGAUGCUUUUUCUUUUCUUUUUUUUUAUAAUCUUUAUAGACUAGUUAUAUUGAGCAUCAACUUACUUUCCAUGAUGUUUUUGAAAGUCUCUUACAAAAAGGGUAUUCAACAAAUAAUAUAAUCAGACAUAUUGAUAGGACAAAUUGAAACUAGUAUUCUAUGAUCAUAAUAAAGAGUAAUCUUUAAUCAAAUGCGUGAAGGUAUUGAGAUGUCAUGCUUUUUCAUGAUUUCCUGUUUUACCAUGGCGAUGUUCAUUGGAAUAGUCCCAUCCAAGAGAAUCAAACCAAUGCUCAGCAAGAAAUGUUCAAUGCAUAUGUAAUUUUAAUUACAGAAGUUAUAUGCAGCUUAUAUGAGUUCAAGAUCAUAAAAGACUUCAUGGACAAAAGGAAACCCUUUCUUAUCACUGAAAUGAAAAUAGGCACUCUUAAUUUUCUAUUGUCAAAAGUAGCAAGCCAUUUUCCAAAGAAAAGGGAAGAUGGAUGGUUCCAGAAAGAAUACCUCAUCCUUUGUCAAGUGUGGAUUAUAUAGCAUCUCCUCUCCCACAGUGGUUACCNNNNNNNNNNNNNNNNNNNNNNNNNNNNNNNNNNNNNNNNNNNNNNNNNNNNNNNNNNNNNNNNNNNNNNNNNNNNNNNNNNNNNNNNNNNNNNNNNNNNAAAUCGAGCAAUCAUUUAUAUAUGUAAGAAAUGAUAGGAAUAAAGUUUUAUAUCUUACUGAGAAUCCUUUGUAGUCAUGAGUUGGAUAUAGCAAUGUCUCUUUCGGUAAUGUAAAAAUCUGGAUCCAUGAAACAAAUAAGUCCAUAAAUUUUAUUCAAAUUUUGACAAUUACAAUAAAAUUUUGAGAACUCAAAGAAUGUGACCAUAAAAAGUCCCCUGUCCUUACCUGUGAAUGCACUGACUUGUAGAGUUGCUGUGAACUUCCACCCUGCAAAAUGCAUUAAUCAGUGCUAGUCAAUGGCUACUGAAUGUGGGAGCAUUAGAGAAAAUUAUCUUAAAAACUUAAGUAUAACAAAAUUAGACAAUGACAUCCAGAUGGAAAGAAAUUGCCAGCAUAUAAGACCAGCAUUUAUGUACUCACGACUGAAAAUCCUUUGCAAAAAGUAUAGCCCUGAUAGUUCAAACUUUUACUUCAAGGAUGAUUUAAUUACUGAUUAGUUUACCAUGAGGCUUGUGAAUGACAAACACUUUAUGUGCAACCACAGUAACAAGGUAAGCACCAAUAAGUAGAAAACUAGACGAAUAGGUAACCAAGAGUUAGAGCUAAAACAGACAAACAGAGCUACUAUCCAAUGAGCUAAAACAUACAAACAGAGGUAUAUUUUAACAAUGAAAAUAAUCGAUUGCCUUAAACACCAUAUAGUGUUCCAAUCAAUCAAAUUAUAGCAGGCAUUAAAACCUUUCCCUUUCGUUAAUUCACAACUAUUAGCUUCAUUAAUCAAAUCCUAUGUACAGUUGAUCGAUUGAAAGUGUAACAUUUCAAAGACGAAAUUUAAACACAAAACUGGUUAACAUUGAAAUUACAUGUAAAUAUAACCUAAAAAACCAAAAAAUUAAUCAUAUUUUCAGAUUUCAGGCCGAAAUGGAAUGAAAUGAAAGGUAAAUCCAUUUUUUCCUCAAAAAAACAAAAAUAAAGAAAUAAUAUUUCAAGAACAGAUCAUUAAAUUCAUGGUAUAUAUAAAGAAAUUUAAUUGAAAUCAAAGGAAUAGAAGAAGGGAAAAGCGUACUUGGAACCAUUGCUGCUACUCUCUGUUACUCUGUUACCUCAUACGAUUCGUUAAAGGGUUGUUAGGGUUUGUUAAAGGGUUGGUCAGGAUAGAAGCAUGAAAAGGAGGGAGAAGGUUGGAAGGAAAUGGGAAGAAAAAUGAAAAAAAGAAGAAGAUGCUGCAACGGCUUGGAGGGUAAAAGAGGACCGAUUAGGUAAUCCUUUCUUUUCGAAGGGAUUACAAAUCGGCGCUGCAUAAGGGAAAAUGGGGAAUCGGUGCGCUGCGUAAUAGGCCCGUAUUAAGGCAAUACAGCCAACCAAACAGGGUAAUCAGUGGGGCCACGGAUUAGGGGUGUAUUGGCUAAUCCAAUACACCCAACCAAACAUGCUCUAAAGGACAAAAAAAUUUGAUUUUUUAAAUAUUAUUUUCUCUCUAUUUUGCUAUCAUUUUACUAUUAUGUUGCUACUAUGUUAUUGUUAUUUUUGGAUAUUGUAUAAAACUUAUUUUAUUGUUAAUUUUGUUAUUAUUUUAAAGACAUUUGUUAAUUUUGUUAUUAUUUUAGAGACAUUUGCUUGUUAAGUUGCAUCUAUCUUAGUGUUAUUUAAGUAUACAUAUUUUUUAAAAUUUAUUUUCAAUUUAUUGGGAAAUAUUUAUUUUGAUGUUUUUAGUAUUUUGGGUGUAUUAUAUAUAUUAAAAUUAUAUAAAAAUUAAUAUGGCCGAGCCGAGUCAGGUCCAGAUUUUAGCAUUUUUAUUCAGGUCGGGCUUGAGCAAAAUUUUAAGCCCAUUUUUUGGGCCAAACCAGGCCUGGGCUUAGCAAAUGGGCCUAAAUUUUUAGUCAAGCCCGACCUAAACCCGAUCCGGCCCAUGCUCACCUCUAGAUCAGAGCUGCCCUCGCUUUGCAUUUCUUUGAGAUUCAGUCUUAUCUACUGUUGAUUGCCCACUCAAUUGAGGGUUGAGUAGAAAGAUUUGGUGAAGCAAGCUAAGCUAUCAAUCAAGGUUGGAGAAAGCUUAGGAGGUCACAAUGCAUAAUUAUUUAAAUGUAAUUCUAAUAUUUAAAUAAAAUUUAUUAAUAUAGUAUUAACAAGCCCUAAAUGUAAUGAUUAUAUACUAUUACAUUUUUAAGAAGAGAAAACAUGUUUGAACCUUAAAAACAUCAUUAUUAAAAAUGAUAAUUAAAAAUUUUAAAAUAUAAAAAAUAUAAUUAAAAAUUAAUUUUAAACCCGAGCUGGAUAAAAUUCUAAUUUUAGAUAACGAUACUAAUAAGAAAUCAAUAUUAAAAUGAAAAUGAAAAGUAAUUUAAUAUAAUUUUUGAGUCUUGGGCAAAGGCACUCAAUGAAUGCUUGGAAAGAAAUAAUGCAACUUGGUGAUAGCUUUUGUUGGAGUAAUAUGCUCUUAUUAUAGUUUUAUGUUUUUAUCUUGCAAAAACAACAUAUUGGAGUUUUCGGCAUGAUUUUUUCUUAAUACUUUACAUGAAAAAUAAUAAUGGGACUUAAAAAUCUAUCAAAAGCUUCACCAUAAUAAUAAUAAUAAUAAUAAUAAUAAUAAUAAUAAUAAUAAUAAUAAUAAAUUGCUACAAUAUUACAACACAAAGUUACAAUAAGAGCUUAUAACUCAACAAAGGCUAUCAAUAAAUAAUCUCAGGCAAGCUAAAGAGAAAUGUUGAGAAUACCACCCGAAUAGUGACUGACUUUAAAAGUUGAAAACCCAAAGCUAUAGUAUCUCAAACUAAAUCAAACCAUAAACAUUAAAAUUUUCAAGUCUACUAGCUACUGUAAAAAAUACAGCUCCAACAGACACCAAAUGAGUCUUUGAUCGAAGAAAGUACAAAAACUAGUCUGGGUAAACCAAGCUGCCAAACUUACUUAUCUUAUCUUUAAUUUUGCAGUGAAAUUAAAAACUAAGUUUUUGUUUAUUUCACUUGGAACAACUUUCAAAAAAUUAUUUUUGAAAAAUGGAUUGGUUUUUCGAAAUAAAUGAUAUUUUAUUGUGUUAAAAUUUUAUUCGUUGUUGGAAAACUUUUUUUAAAUCAUUUUCUUAAAGUUAUUUUUAGUGAAACAAACAUAACAUAAAUAUAUUUGUUACAAAAAAUUAUACUAGUAAUUUCUUUUGACAAUUAAAAUUUAUUUUAUGGUAAGACAAUAUUUUAUAAUAAUUAAUAUCAUAUAUAUACGUAAUAAAAAUCAUGUUUAAUUAAAAUUUAAUUAAAAUUAGAUGUAUUAAUAAAGCUACUCCUCCACAACCCGCAUCCGCAACAGCACCAGCACCAGCACCAGCACCAGCAUCAGCACCAUGGGACAACUAUUGGGUUUCCUCCACCUGCCUCUAUCGCUCCUCCUCAGUAUUACCCCUAAGCCUACCAGACCGUGCCGGGUAUUCUACAAAUAUGAAAAAACCUUCUUCUCUUUUUAUUAGCUUAUCGAAAUGAAGGAUUUUGAGAUUUGGGCUUUUGUUAGAUGGAUGGUUAAUGAUAUUUUUUAGAUGAAAGAUACAAGUUUUUUAAUGUUUUAGAAGAAAAGGUGUUUAAAUAUUAGGAGUUUUUUAGCAGAGAAAGAAGAUAAAUAAAUGCAUAGAGAUACAUUAGCAAUAUUAUUUGGAUUUGGUUGUCUAAUGUAAUGAAGAAUUUUUUAAGGGUGACCUGAGUAGGUGUGGCAAGAUUCAAAGUUUUUUCUAUUAUAGCAGAUAUAUAUAUAUUAAUGGUUUAAGAAGACUAGAAGUCGGUUUCAAAGGAAGAUGAGAAAUAAAAGCAUUUAUAUAUAUGAUAUGUCAUUAAUUCAUAAACCAAAUAUAUAAAGUAUGUAAAAGUGUCAGGGGUUAAUCAUGGUGUUUUGACAAUCCGGUAACCUUCAACUUGAAGAAAACCUUAGGUUUCAAAAAUUUAUGUGAAGAGUUAGAAUGGUAUGCUUCAUGGAUCUGAAUAACUAGAACAGUGUAAGAGUGGUAUAUUGUGUCAAGUUUGGUUUCUUGUAUAUAAUUGUAUCGAAAACAAUGUUACAUGAGUUAAAAUGAAUGUUCAUCCAAUUUAACAAAGCCUGCAUUAUGUUGAUCAAAAUUUUUAAUUCAUGUUGAGGUUUCUUCCGUGAUAUCUUUGAUGUCAAGGUUAUGAUGUUGCUGAAGGGACACCUGUAAGAGAUAAGCUACGGUGCUGUGGCAUUGGAUUCGGAUGGUUCUUGUAAGUGUACAUAGUUUUCUUUGUUUUUAAAGAGUUCUUUACAUAUGAAGUAAAACAAGUAGCGACUUGAUGGAUAUGUCAUUAAGCUUUAACUUAAGCAAAUCAUUUUCCUUCAUCUCUAAUUGCCAUUUCUUUAAAAGAAAAAGAGGAAGUUUUGUAGUUUACAGUUUGGACAAAUGGAAGUUAAUAUAAUGCACUAUUUGGAUGGACUAUGGAGAUAUCCAAUCAUAUUGGAUGAGUUAUAAGAAACCUGUGAGUUCAUAUUGGGUUUACUUUAUAUCAUAAUUAGAUUGUUGAGCUGGCUGUCAGACUUAGAUGGUAUUUCACGUUGCUACAUGUUAAACUAUACCACUUUCACAUUCAUACGUGAAAUGGCUGGGAUUUAGUGCCAUUCUACUUAGCAGCCUCGUGUAAUACACAGGUGAAAUGUUUAUGUCUUCAUGUCACCUUAAAGUUCCCAUUUCCAUGACGGUAUUGUUAAGUAAAGACUGGUACAUACCCCAAAAUACGGAAAUUGUUUUGGAUGUAUACUAUACUUUACCAUGCAUGAUUUUUUACAAGUUUGCAUGGUAUUUUAUCAUUAUAUUGGUCUUUAUUUUCUAUACUCGCAGCUUCCAUUAAUAUAUUUUUAUGAAUUUUAUCAUUAUGCUGGUUUGAAGGUUCAUCAUUGGUUUCUUCAUUGGGGGCCAUCCCUGGUAUAUUGGAUUCUUUGUUUUACUUUGUGCAAGGAUAGACGACAGAGAGAAAGCAGGAUAUAUUGCAUGCACAAUUGCCGUGAGUAUCUUUUCUAUCAUUAUUUUUUUCUUUUCCAAUUUUAUGAAAGCCAUCCUUCCUGCCUUGUAUUGAUCAUCAAUUUAACCAUUGUAUAUAUGUAUCUUAUGUAUUUGUACCAUGCUUUAUCUUCAAUGCAAAUAUAAGUUAAACUACAAAGAUUGGAUUGUUAAAAAAAGUUUAAAAUGUUAAAAAAAUUGAAAAUUUUGAUUUUGUAAGAAUGAUAGAAAACCAAGGCCAGUGCUUGCAUAUGUUAUCUACUACAUGCACAAUCGGGUCGAUGUCUGUAUAUGUUUCAUGUUUAGAAAUCGUGUUCAAUUGGGUUACGAUAUGUACAAUUGAAGUGUCAAUUUAUAAUUUCCUUAUCAAGAUUACACAUUUUUUUGUUAAUAUUCGGAAUCACUCAAUGGUUAUAAACCCUGAUUGGAUACUGUCCACAAAGUCUAGUUGGAACAUCCCUUGUAUUCUUUGUCCUUUCUAAGAACUUUCCUUUCCAUCAUUCUCGCUUCUGUUUUUUUUUUCUUCCCUCUACUUUAAGUCAUUAUCUAACGUAGAUAUCCCUUGUAUUCUUUGUCCUUUCUAUGGCAAUCGAGUCAAUUGAUGGCAAGCCAAAAAAACAAAAAGAACAGCUAUCCUGUCUUACUCGAUUGCCAUCCCUCCUGUUAAACACCAUUAAGAAAAGGAAAAUUUUAGUUAAGCUUUAAAACAGCCAUGUUUUAACGAUGUUGGUGAUGGUGCUUGUGCAGGCCCUUCUUGCUACAAUUACAAUUAUUCUUAGUGCAACAAUUAAAGCUGGUGGGUGAUAAAGCACACCUCUUUUGACUGAGAGAUGUAUAGGUUCCCAAAUAAUAUGUAUAUGCUCCCCCCCCCCUCCCUUUAUUUUAUUUUAUUUCCAGUAAGUUAUUGUUUAUGAUAAUUUGCAACAAAUGUUUUUGUCAUUAUUUUGUUGGUGAAUGAUAAUAAGAUUAAGCUUUACUUUCUUAAGCUCCAAUUCCUUGGACGUUGGUGAUUUUUUUAUUAUAGUUGAGUCCUUGUAUGGUAUUAAUAUAAUUUAUGUCGCUUAAAAUUUAUAACUAAAAAUAUAAAAUUUAAAUUUUACUUCAAUUUAUUUGUAUUUAUAAAUGGUUAAUUCAAACUUAUUUUUUUCCUCAUUAUAUUUUAUAUUUAAAUUAACAUUUAAACUAUUUUUCAUUAGCAAUGUUGUUAAGAAUUAUAUUUUUUAGCACCAACAUCAAACUUACUAAAAUUAAAUUUUUAACUAUUUUAAAAAAAAUAUUUUUAGCUAUUUAUCAUCAUAGAGAAAAAAAGGUGACGUCACCACGCCUCAUGCUUCGACACCACAAACUAGACUCUCAUCACCUGUAUUUAUCAUCGAUUCAAAUUCCAGAACUACCUAAAAAUAUAUCUUCAAACUUCCUCUGGUUAAGUUCAUUGAUAGUCAACUUACUAUUAUUUCUAAAAAAAAAAACAAAUAAAUUGGUUAAUAGUAAUCUCAAUGAUUCAAUUUUAUUCUUACCAAUAUCUGUCCUUUAGAAAGGGGCUUAUAAAAGGGAUAGAGGUGAGUAAACUUGAGCUUCAGCUUUCCACAAACACCUUAAUUUGAAGACACAGUUCUCUCAUACUAAAAAAGACAUGGAAGUUUACCUUGUAAUUAGAGAUUUGGUUUCAUUGCUUGUUGUUGGGUUAUUAAUGAUAUGGGGAUGCAGAACUUUAAACUGGGUAUGGCUGGCCCCAAAAAGGCUCGAAAGCUGCUUGAGACAACAGGGUUUUGCAGGGAAUCCUUACAGGUUCCUUUCUGGUGACAUAAAAGAGCUCUCAACUAUGAGCAGACAAACAAGAGCCAAACCUAUGCCUCUUAGUGAUGAUAUUGGGCCUUAUGUUGUUCCUUUUCAACAUCAAACUGCUAACCAGUAUGGUAUGCUUUUUUUGUUUAAUCUGCAAUUUAUGAUAAUUCUUUGUUAUUUAUGUAUGGAAUUUAUUGGGAGGAAAUGCAGGAAAGAAUUCAUUUACGUGGUUUGGUCCAAGACCAAGGGUGAACAUUACGGACCCUGAAAAAAUAAGAGAAAUACUUAACAAAUUUAAUGACUUCCAGAAGAUACAUACCAAUCCACUGCUUAAUUUGCUUGUAAGCGGCCUUGCUAACCUCGACGGAGACCGAUGGAGCAAGCGUAGAAAAAUCAUAAACCCUGCAUUUCAUCAAGAUAAGUUGAAGGUAUAGAAUAGUGAUGGGUAAUCAGACUUUACAGAAAACAUCAUACUUAAACCUAUGCUUUCCUGAUUUAGAAAUAAUUGGAUGCAGAAUAUGUUGCCAGCAUUUUAUCAAAGUUGUAGUGACAUGUUAAGCAAAUGGGAGAAGAUGGUGUGUACAAAAGGAUACAGUGAGUUAGAUGUGUGGCCUUAUCUCGUAGAUUUGACAAGAGAUGUGAUUUCCCGAUCUGCUUUUGGAAGCAGCUUCGAAGAAGGCAAACGAAUUUUCCAAUUACUAGAGGACCAACUCGUUCACAUAAUCAAAUUAAUACAAACUGUUUACAUUCCAGGAUGGAGGUAACCCUCAACUUAAUUUACUUGAAAAAGGUUGCAAAUGUUGGAAUUGGCUAAAUUCGUGUUUGUUUUCUUGAAGGUUUUCGCCAACGAAGACAAACAGGGAGAUGAAGAUGAAACACAGGGACAUAAAAGAGUUGCUUAUGGAAAUGAUAAAGAGAAGGGAGAAGGCAAUUAAAGCAGGGGAAGAGAGCAAUGAGGACUUGUUGGACAUACUUGUGGAAUCCAAUAUCAGAGAAAUGGAAGCAAAGAAUAUGGGGAUGAGCAUUGAGGAUGUGAUUGAGGAAUGCAAGCUGUUUUACUUAGCUGGCCAAGAGACCACUUCGGUCUUACUGGUGUGGACUAUGGUUUUAUUAGCAAGGUAUCCCGAUUGGCAAAGUAAAGCAAGAGAGGAGGUUUUGCAUGUUUUGGGUGACAGUAAACCUGACGCUGAUGGCCUUAAUCGUCUCAAAGUUGUAAGUCCCUAGCAUGUCUUUUGAAGGUCCGAUCAAUGAGGUCGACAACUCAAAAACUUUGUUUCUUUUUUCGCUAAUUCUACAGGUAACAAUGAUAUUGUACGAGGUUCUAAGGCUGUACCCACCGGUGGUUGAGCUAGAACGUUCCGUUCCAAAAGAAAUAAAACUGGGGAAUUUGUUGUUACCAGUAGGAACAGAAGUUUCGGUUCCGAUCCUGCUGAUCCACCAUGACAAAGAUCUUUGGGGCGAUGACGCACGGGAAUUUAAGCCAGAGCGGUUCGCGGAAGGGGUUUCCAAAGCAACAAAGAGUCAAGUCACGUUUCUGCCAUUCGGAUGGGGUCCUAGGAUCUGUAUUGGCCAAAAUUUUGCUAUGAUGGAAGCCAAAAUGGC
rnacentral:lncRNA from 1 species